UACAAAUGACUUAUUUUAUAUGAAUAAAGCAAAAGUAUAUAUAUCUAUAUAUUUAAUAUAAUGUUCCUACCCGUCAUGAGAACAUUUUUUUCUACCCCCUUUUGAGGAAAUGGCGAUGGGGCUGAGAUUUUAAUUCUGACUUUAGCAUUUUACAUUAGUGCCAUCAAAACUGCCAACAUUCUUUUAUGUAUUUUAGUAAAAGCAGAUUACAUUCACUUUCAGACUUUCAAAAGAUUGCAUGGAUUUUCACAGUCAGCACAUUUUUUGACAGAGGUUCAAAAAGACAGCAACUUUGUCUAAUCUAUUCAGCCCUCCUGUUAUCUGCUGAAUGUCUAGAUUUCUCACAGCCUGAAAAAACGGAUGUCCUGACAUGUCAUAGAAAAUACAACUGAUUUAUAAAUAACAUUGCUUAACUCAAGGUCAUCACACCAUCAGACUCUCAUACCAACAAAGGUCAGAUUCUGUCUGGCAUCACUAGCUUUUCUGUCUCUGUCGUUAAUGGCAAGCUUUUUUCGCAAUGUGUUUGUGUGUUUGAAGAACUUAGUUUUUAAGGCCGGCGUUGAAGCGCAGUCACAGACAGACACUCGGGCACCUAAAACGUCAACCUGUCUGACAGAAAGGCCCUUCAUUUGACAGCAAGCCCAAUUAGAAGGCAAAAAACACUGUAAAGAAGAAGGGGGGAAUAGAGAGAGAGGGAAACAGUGGGUGGGAGGUGCUUAAGGACAGCCUAUAAUUAACCCUUCAACUUAAUAAGUCCUUGCAGGACAGAUCUGCAAACGAGGAGCCCAGCACACACAGGCAAGCCGUUUUUAGCGGCUCAAAUUAUCACAGGGAGUGUUUAAACGAGAGGUUCAGCUGUGUUUGCGCAGCGGUGUGAUGUGGAGUCAGGCUCUACCUUUGAAGUGUUCAGGGAUGGCAUUGAAGGCUAUGACUAAGUUGUUUUGUACAAGAUCCAUUUCUGGCUCUAAGAGAGUGUGAGUGUUUGAUUUGGACUAAAGGGAGCGUGUACACGUACUACUUCAAGAAGGCGAGCGAUGAGUUUGAGUGCGGUGCGGUGUUUGAGGAAGUGUGGGAAGAUGCCACUGUGCUGCCCAUGUAUGAGGGCAAGGUUCUGGGCAAAGUGGAGAGGAUGGACUAAAAAGACGAAACACAAACAACCAGCGCCCUUUCCCUGCCCAACCACAAGUUAAGCUUUCCCUAAAGGACUUGAGAAACAGACUCUGUUAAAAAAAAAAAAGACAAAAAAAAAAAAUUCUGGACUUUUUUUUUUUUAUUACAUAUUUCUUCUUAUUAAGCUAAACAGAGUUAAUAUAUCCAGCACAAAAAAAAAACGAUUGAAGGAAGAUGAGCCAAUGAAGUAUGCCGAACUCAGAGGAGGAGCCGCCCCCUCCCUGAUGCUCUCAACCAAUCAGCCUUAGAACACACAAGGGAACGAAACUAUGAAAACCAAGGCAAGAAACAACGGGGGAGGAAACACCCCGACUUCUCUUGGACAUAACCACUGAAGAUACAGAUGACGUGACAUGAUGGCAGACUGAUGGUGUCCUGUGCAGUGGGCUAAGCAGGCGCUAAUGGAAACUCCAUAUGUGUACAUAUACAUACAUGCAUAUAUAUGUAUAUAUACAUGUAUUUAAUUUAUAUCUAUAUAUAUAUCUAUAUAGAUAUAUAGAUAUAGAUUUGAUUUUUUUUUUUUUUGAGUUAAAAGUUUUUUUUUAGUAUUUAUUAAAAAAAUCUUUUCCUCUCCCAUCCUAUGUCUUAAACUUGUGACCCCACCCCCUUUUCCUGUUUCCAGCCAAUGAUCAAGCUGCUUUAAAUGUUGGGAGAAUACUGUGGUGAUAAUAUUUAAUGUUUGUCCAUUUUUAUGUUCCACUAUGGUCGUUACACUACCCUUUUUUACAACUUAAGACCCAAAAUAACGACCUGGGUCCCAGGCUGAAGCUUCGUCUCGAUAGUGGUCGAUCCCAGUUUUAUAUGCUGCUGAUAGUUUGUUCAAAGUUGUCACACUAGGAUCUCCCAGAGCUCAUUGAAUCUCUCGCCACUCCUCCCUUUUCUACCUGUCUUUUCCCUCUUUAGCGACAGAGCUCAAUCUUUUUUUGUUGUGCCUUUGUUUGUAAAUCAGGCAUUGCACAGAGAUGGGAAAUAAAGGGAUGGGGGGCAGAUUCAAACAGACAAAUGGCCUAAUGAAGACAGUGUUUACAGCCUGUGCACCUAAAUAACUCAUGCUAACAGAAUCGGUUCUGGCCACUAAGAGCGACCUCUAGAUGAAGUCAGCCAAUGUGUGCAAGGGGGGAAAAAAGU